ACACUCCUCACAAGACUACUCUUACUUCUCACUCUCACUUGGUUGCCUACUUGGCUACUUUCUGGAUUUCUUGAUUACUUGGCAACAAACACACACACACACACACACACACACACACACACCUAUUUAUAGGUGUGGUUUUGUCGACUACAAUUGCCCACCGACAUGGGCAUUACAUAAUAGCCAUACAUUUGUGAUGGUUCUAGGCUUUUCUACAUACAAACCAUUUUUCUAGAUUUUCUUAAGCCUAAGGCGGUGGACUUAGGCUUUUCCAACUUGCUACCUUCUUUGCUAGAGUUUUCUAGCAUUUUCUCAUUCAUGAUUCCAAAUGGGCUGGACCUUAAUUAUUGGGCUGGUGUUGUACUUCAACACUCUCCCUCAACACCAGCUCAUUCUUUCCUCCAUGCUGAGUUGACGACGAAACUUUUCAAACUUGCCGGUACUCAAACCUUUAGUGAACAAGUCCGCAACUUGUUCAUCUGUAUUGAUUUGUCUCAUCUCAAUCUUUUCUUGCAAGACCUUCUCUAUAAUGAAAUGAUAGUGUACCUCCACAUGUUUAGUUCUUGCAUGAAAGACUGAAUUUUCCGCCAAGAGAAUUGCCGAUUGGUUACCACAGUACAAUGGUACUGCAUAAUCUACUAGUUUAUGUAGAUCACUCAUCAACUGUACCAGCCAUGCAUUCUCUUGAGCUGUCAUUGCUGCUGCUCUAUACUCUGCUUCUGUGGUUGACAGAGACACUGUUGGUUGUCUCUUGCUGCCCCACGAAACUACUCCAGAACCAAUUCUGAAGACAUACCCAGUGGUUGAUCUCUUGGUGUCAUGAUCUCCUGCAAAAUCUGCGUUACAAUAGCCAACCAACUUACCGUCUUCACCUUUCUUGUAUAAGAGACCAUAGUCACUAUUUACAUAUCUCAAUAUUCGUCGAACUGCUUCUAGAUGAGGUUUCUUUGGAUUUUGCAUGUACCGACUCAUCACACCAACUGCAUAAGAAAUGUCAGGUCGAGUCAAAGUCAAGUAGAUCAGACUACCUACCAAUUGUCGAUAGAUUGUUACAUCUUCCAAGGCUCUGCCUUCAUGUGCACACAUCUUGGCAUUAGGUUUCAUUGGUGUUGAGAUUGGCUCGCAUUCAAACAUCCCAAACUUCUUCAACAAGUCUUUUGCAUACUUUUGCUGACACAAAAAUAUCCCUUCUUGUGUGCGAUCAACCUCUAAUCCAAGAAAGUGCUUGAGUUGUCCAAGUUCUUUCAUCUUGAAUCGUACUGACAAAUUCUCCUUUGUUCGACGAAUUUCUGCCUCAUCAUCGCCAGUGAUGAUUAAGUCAUCCACGUACACCAACACGACAGCUAACUUUCCUCCAUUAGCUUUAACGAAUAAGCUGGAAUCUGCAUGUGCCACCGAGUAACCACUUUGUGUUAGAAAUUCUGCAAUCUUACCGUACCAAGCCCUUGGUUUUGUUUCAGACCGUAGAGUGCUUUCCUCAACUUGCACACGUACUCGGGAUGAGCUUUGCUUUCAAAGCCCAUUGGUUGCAUCAUGUAGAUUUCCCGAUCUAGCUCUCCAUGCAAGAAACCAUUCUUCACAUCCAUCUAGUGUAGAUUCCAAUCUUUGUUAGCUGCAAGUGCAAGUAGGACUCGUACGGUCGUAAGCUUUGCUACUGGACUAAACGUUUCAUCAUAGUCUAGUCCAUACUAUUGAGGGAAGCCUCGAGCCACCGAUCGAGCCUUGUACCUUUCAACUAAACCAUCAGGAUGACGCUUUAUCUUGUACACCCAUUUGCAGGAUAUGGGUUUCACAUCCCUUGGCUUGGGCACCAAAUCCCAAGUCUGAUUCUGCUUAAGCGUAGUGAUUUCUUCUUCCAUAGCUCUUACCCAUUCAGAACUCUGUGAUGCAUCUUCAAACGCCUCAGGUUCUUUUGCGGCUUCAUCAACUAUAACAACAUUGACAUAUUUAGGAUUUGGCUUUUGUACUCCUGUUGACCUCCUUAGUUGUGAUUGUGGAGUUGAUUCUUCCACUUCACUAGGUCUAACUUCUCCUGGUUGUUGAUACACACCAGUUUGCCAAGAACUCUUGGGUAUUUCUUGCUCGACAUCGUCUCCAACAAGCAAAUCUUCAGACUCAUUUGGACUUGAUUGGAUUUGGGCUGCUUGGUCUCCCAGUUUCCCCUGCAACGUAUCUUCAAUCUCUUUCGAAUUGGGCAACGCCUCAUUUUUUUGAGCACCAACAAGAUGAUGCUUCUGCGACCCAUUCUUCCUCCAAGGCUAAAGAUGCUACGACGUCCCAGUCAUCUUCACUUUCCUUCUCUGAGUUGGCGACGUUACUCUAUGCGGGCUUUUUGAACCAACAUUCAUUCGCCAUGUGGCCCUUCUUUCCAUAAUUGUAACACUUGCCCUCAAACCUUUUAUUGUUCUGGGACUGACCACCGUUGCCGUGAUACUUCGGAGCUCCCCCUGGCCGAUAACUUCCUCCUCCUUGAUGACCUUUUUCCUUGUCACCAUUUCUUUUAGAUCCACCAUCAGCAUGCUGCUUAAAACUGCCUUUACUUUUGGUGUAGAGUGCUUCCUCUUCACCCCUUAACGAGACCCCUCCCAUUUGCUUUGCCAAAGCUUCUUGAUCGGCAAGCAAAUUCUCAAACUCAACAAGUGAUGGUUGGGUCGGCUAUCCUUGUAUAACGGCAACGAAGCCUCGAUAUUCGGGUCUCAAUCCAUGGAUAAUUAUUCUUUUUAUCCUGGAUUCUACAAUGGCAGCACUAGGAUCUAAUUCAUAAAUUUCACGGCAAAUAGACUUUACCUUGUGGAAAUAUUCGGCAAUCGUCAUGUCUCGUUGGGCCAUCGAUAACAACUCAUUCUCGAGAAGCUGGAGUCUUGUAUCGUUCCUCUUUGAAAAGAGUGGCGAAGGUGUCUCACGCUUCUUUUGGUGUCUUGGCCUUCCGUAUGUGCUCCAACAUGUCAUCUUCAACUGUGGUUUUAAGGCAAACAUGGCCUUACCUGCCUUGAUCUUCCACUUUCGCAAAAUGCCACUGGUGUCUUCUUCUGGCUGCGUAACUUUAUUACCGCUGACGACAUCCCAAAGAUCUUGGCCUUGUAGGUAAGACUCCAUACACGUCGCCCAUGUGUUGUAAUUUUUGUUGUUCAACUUCUUGUUUCCUCCAACAACUUGAAGAUCUCCCAUCGUGUUGGCAGAACUUCGAUAAGCCGAACAAGAUUAACGAAUAAUCUUGCAAAGUACUAAACUUCUCACGAUUCUCAAAAGCUUCACUAGAGACGGUCCUUGAUCGUACCGCUCUGAUACCAAUUGUUGAGAAAAACUUAAGAGUACACUACUCUAACACAAGUGUUGGAGAGACAAUACAAGUAAACAAAUUACUUGUAUUACACACACAAAAUAUUACAACACUCACAAGGACACAACUUUAGAAGCAAUGACACUCACUCACUUUCUAGAGACAAACUCUAGAUCACUCACACUCCUCACAAGACUACUCUUACUUCUCACUCUCACUUGGUUGCCUACUUGGCUACUUUCUUGAUUUCUUGAUUACUUAGCAACACACACACACACUCCUAUUUAUAGGUGUGGUUUUGCCGACUACAAUUGCCCACCGACAUGGGCAUUACAUAAUAGCCAUACAUUUGUGAUGGUUCUAGGCUUUUCUACAUACAAACCAUUUUUCUAGAUUUUCUUAAGCAUAAGGUGGUGGACUUGGGCUUUUCAAACUUGCUACCUUCUUUGCUAGAGUUUUCUAGCACUUUCUCAUUCAUGAUUCCAAAUGGGCUGGACCUUAAUUAUUGGGCUGGUGUUGUACUUUCAACA
rnacentral:lncRNA from 1 species